rnacentral:rRNA from 1 species
GCUUAAAAUCCAAAGGACUUGACGGUGUCCCACCCCCCUAGAGGAGCCUGUUCUAUAAUCGACGAUCCCCGCUACACCUCACCACUUCUCGCUUACACAGUCUGUAUACUUCCGUCGCAAGCUUGCCGUUUGAAUGAUUAACAGCAGGCUCAAUGGCACCCCCGCCAACACGUCAGGUCAAAGUGCAGCUCAUGAAGUGGCAAGCAAUGGGCUACAAUUUCUAAUUUAGAACAAACGAAAAACCAUCUGAAAUGGUGGUCACGAAGGUGGAUUUAGCAGUAACGGGGGAUAAUAGUGCCCCCCUUAACAGCGGCCCUGGGACGCGUACAAACCGCCCGUCAAUCUCUUCGAUAGCUAUCAACUAGUUAAUAACACUUUAUUUGCGCUUUAGAAGGGGUAAGUCGUAACACGGUAAGCGUACUGGAAAGUGUGCUUGGACAAACAAAAUAUAGCUUAGAAAAGCCCCCCGCUUACACCGGGAAGACAUCUGUUAAACUCGGAUUAUUUUGAGCCCCAACUCUA